rnacentral:tRNA from 1 species
AGAACUGAAGCUCACUGGGAGCGCACUGACUUGAUCGCAAGAACAGUGCACGCGGGUUCGAGUCCCGUCAGUUCUA